AGCAGCCGCGGUAAUUCCAGCUCCAAUAGCGUAUAUUAAAGUUGUUGCAGUUAAAAGCUCGUAGUUGAAUUUCGGGAUCAAUUUAUUGGUCGUGCAAUAGUACGUACUGGUAUUAUUGGUUCCUACCUUCUGACGAACCAUAAUGUCACUAAUUUGGUGUUAUGGGGAAUCAGGACUGUUACUUUGAAAAAAUUAGAGUGUUUAAAGCAGGCUCACGCUUGAAUACAUUAGCAUGGAAUAAUGAAAUAGGACGUUUGAUUCUAUUUUGUUGGUUUCUAGGAUCGACGUAAUGAUUAAUAGGGAUAGUUGGGGGCAUUAGUAUUCAAUUGUCAGAGGUGAAAUUCUUGGAUUUAUUGAAGACUAACUACUGCGAAAGCAUUUGCCAAGGAUGUUUUCAUUAAUCAAGAACGAAAGUUAGGGAUCGAAGACGAUCAGAUACCGUCGUAGUCU
rnacentral:rRNA from 1 species